rnacentral:rRNA from 1 species
GACGAACGCUGGCGGCGUGCUUAACACAUGCAAGUCGAACGGAAAGGCCCUGCUUUUGUGGGGUGCUCGAGUGGCGAACGGGUGAGUAACACGUGAGUAACCUGCCCUUGACUUUGGGAUAACUUCAGGAAACUGGGGCUAAUACCGGAUAGGAGCUCCUGCUGCAUGGUGGGGGUCGGAAAGGUUCGGCGGUUGGGGAUGGACUCGCGGCUUAUCAGCUUGUUGGUGGGGUAGUGGCUUACCAAGGCGUUGACGGGUAGCCGGCCUGAGAGGGUGACCGGCCACAUUGGGACUGAGAUACGGCCCAGACUCCUACGGGAGGCAGCAGUGGGGAAUAUUGCACAAUGGGCGGAAGCCUGAUGCAGCAACGCCGCGUGCGGGAUGACGGCCUUCGGGUUGUAAACCGCUUUCGCCUGUGACGAAGCGUGAGUGACGGUAAUGGGUAAAGAAGCACCGGCUAACUACGUG